rnacentral:rRNA from 1 species
CCUACGGGUGGCAGCAGUGAGGAAUAUUGGUCAAUGGACGGAAGUCUGAACCAGCCAUGCCGCGUGCAGGAAGACGGCUCUAUGAGUUGUAAACUGCUUUUGUACAAGGGUAAACCUGAAAACGUGUAUUCAGCUGAAAGUACUGUACGAAUAAGGAUCGGCUAAGUCCGUUCCCGAAGCCGCGGCAAUACGGAGGAUCCAAGCGUUAACCGGAUUUAUUGGGUUGAAAGGGUGCGUAAGCUGAUUGAUCAGUUAGAUGUGAAAUGUCCGAGCUUAACUCGGGAACUGCCUCGAAUACUGUUGAACUAGAGAGUAGAUGCGGUAGGCGGAAUGUAAGGUGUAGCGGUGAAAUGCGUAGAGAU